CUACGGGUUGCUGCAGUGAGGAAUAUUGGUCAAUGGGCGCGAGCCUGAACCAGCCAUCCCGCGUGCAGGAUGACGGCCCUAUGGGUUGUAAACUGCUUUUCUAUGCCAAGAAACCUGAUUACGUGUAAUCAGUUGCCGGUAGCAUAGGAAUAAGCAUCGGCUAACUCCGUGCCAGCAGCCGCGGUAAUACGGAGGAUGCAGGCGUUAUCCGGAUUCAUUGGGUUUAAAGGGUGCGCAGGUGGGCUGGUAAGUCAGUGGUGAAAUGCUGCCGCUUAACGGUAGAACUGCCAUUGAUACUGCGAGUCUUGAGUAUGGUUGAGGUAGGCGGAAUGUGUUGUGUAGCGGUGAAAUGCAUAGAUAUGACACAGAACGCCAAUUGCGAAGGCAGCUUACUAAGCCAUUACUGACGCUGAGGCACGAAAGCGUGGGGAGCGAAUAGGAUUAGAUACCCGGGUAGUC
rnacentral:rRNA from 1 species